rnacentral:rRNA from 1 species
GACGAACGCUGGCGGCGUGCUUAACACAUGCAAGUCGAACGGAAAGGCCCUGCUUUUGUGGGGUGCUCGAGUGGCGAACGGGUGAGUAACACGUGAGUAACCUGCCCUUGACUUUGGGAUAACUUCAGGAAACUGGGGCUAAUACCGGAUAGGAGCUCCUGCUGCAUGGUGGGGGUUGGAAAGUUUCGGCGGUUGGGGAUGGUCUCGCGGCUUAUCAGCUUGUUGGUGGGGUAGUGGCUUACCAAGGCUUUGACGGGUAGCCGGCCUGAGAGGGUGACCGGCGACAUUGGGACUGAGAUACGGCCCAGACUCCUACGGGAGGCAGCAGUGGGGAAUAUUGCACAAUGGGCGGAAGCCUGAUGCAGCAACGCCGCGUGCGGGAUGACGGCCUUCGGGUUGUAAACCGCUUUCGCCUGUGACGAAGCGUGAGUGACGGUAAUGGGUAAAGAAGCACCGGCUAACUACGUG